UAAUUUUAAAUGACUUGUCUUCAAGUUUGCUGAUUCUUUCUUUUGCUUGAUCAGUUCUGAUGUUGAACCCUUUGGUGAAUUUUUAAUUCAGUCAUUGUAUUCUUCAGUUCAAAAUUUGUUUGGUUCUUUCAGAUAUUUUCUCUUUCUUGAUAUUCUCAUUUUGUUCGUACGUCAUUUUCCUGAACUCAUUGAGUACCUUUAUGAUACUUAUUUUGAAUUUUUUGUCAAGUAAUUCAUAUACCUGUUUCUUUCCAGUCAUUUUCUGGAGAUUUACUCCUCUGCCCUUUGGAUCAUGUCCCCCUAUUUCUUCAUGUGCCUUGUAACUUUCUGUUGGGAUCCACGCAUUUAAAAAACCAGACACCUCUCCCAGUCUUUACUGCCUGGCUUUGUAAAGGGAAAGGUCUUUAUCAAUCAGCCUGGCUAAAGAUUCUGACAUCCGUCCAAACUUUUUCUAUGGAAGCAUCUUCUUUGGACUUCAGCAUGUAAAUCUCCAAUUUAGAAGGACUUGCUGUUUUCUUUUUACAGGUACUCGUAAUAUCUUCUUCCUCUGGUGCCUGUCUGUGUACUGCAGGUUCUCUGGCUCUCUCCUAAACCUCCCAGCUUUCUUUUAUCAGCAACUCCCAAGCUUCUCAAGUAUGUCAGGUCCUAUCAGUGCUCUAACCUAUGCAAGACAAAAACCAGUUUUUGGAGCAGCCCCCCAAAAGCUGGACUCUUGGAUGCAUGCUCCACUCUCCUUCUUCCCACCCUGAGGGAGAGGCCAUCAAGGCUCUGUCCACUGUUCCGCUGGGCCCCUGGAGUGGCAGCAAGCUUCUCAGCUCUCUUUUGUUCUUUGUGGCUCCCAGACACCUAGACUGUGCCAGGUCCUGUUAAUACUUCAAGACAUGUGAGACGCAGACCACUCCCUUGGGCAGCCCUCUCCCAAAGAAUCAGAAUCUCAGACACAUACUUCAACUAUUUCUGUCCAGGAAGAAGCCAGGAAUUAGGGAUUGUAUCAUGCCCAUUCCGCACUAAGCUGGAGGAAAGGAUGAUGAUGGAUGAGUGUGUGGCUGUCCCAAACCUCAUCUUUCCUUUCAGCAGUCCAGCCUGGCAGCCUUUCCCCCUAGUCUCAGAUUCAGGGAGAAGUGAAGAGUUGGGAGUUUCCUCUCAAUUAUGGCAUGCUGAGCUGGGGACAGGGACUCUGAUGGGAACACGAGCCAAGUAGCCACUAGUCCCAGAUGACCAGAUCCGUAAGGAAGACGUCAACCUGAACUGCAGUCCGAGCCCCCGUGAGCUCAGCUGAGAUGAGCUGAAGCCCCGUCAACCUGCAGACCCGCGAGUGUGAAAAAUCAGUGUCUGUGGUUGUAAACCAGGAAGGGCUGGGAUCAGUACACAGUCUUGUUGCAACAGAAACCUCCUCACUCAGGUCCAGAGAGGACUUCCACAGUCUCCUGCCUCGUGGCUGUGGGCACAUAAUGCCCGCCCCCAGAUGUCUGUGCUAGUCCCCAGACCCGUGAGCGUGUUACUUGACACGGCAAAGGACUCGGCACAUGUGACUGACGUCACGAGCACUGCGGUUGAGGGGUCACCCCCGAUCGUCUGGGACGGCCACAUCUAAUCACAUGUGACCUGAAAAGUGGAGACAUCUUUCCAGCUGGGCCCGUCAGAGAGACUUGUCACCCGGUAAGAGGGUGGAGAGAUGUGAGUGCCGGCUUUGGAGACGGAGGAAGGUGCCAGGAGCCAGGGCUGGCGGGCAGCCUCGGGGGAGGGAAGUCGAGGAACGGACUCUCCCCUGGAGCCUCAGGAGAAACAAAGCUACUGAGACUGUGCCAGGGCAACCCGUGUCACACUUCUGCUGUCCAGAACUGUAAGUUAACAGCCUGGUGUGGCUCUGAGGCACUGAGACUGUGGAAAUGCACCGUGGCGGCUACAGGAAACUAACACGUGCCUUUGCCUCUGUUCUCUCUUUCUGUUCCCUCUCAGGCAGCUGUUUGAGCGAAUUUAAGUCAGAAUUGAGUUGGGUUCCCCCGGUAAUGGCUAGUUUAUGUUUUCAGUUAGAAUGAGAUGUUGAGAGAGAACUUCAGUUCAAUUCUAGAAAAGUAAAGAAAAUUCUAUUUUUCCCCUUGA